CUUCCGAGGAGGCGGUGCUGGGGCGGGCGCAGGACUGCAGGCUGGGGCUCCGCUCCCCGGCGGGAGCCCGCGCGUGGUUCCCAGCGAAGUCCCCGCGCGGCUGGGCCCAGCGUGAGUAUUCUCCGCCCGCUGUCCUCCCCCUGGAGGCGGCAGCGCCCGUUUAUUUGAGGAGGAUGAGGCUGUCACUACUACAGUUGGGACUGUUUCAUACUCCGUGCUCUUGUGCUAUGCCAGGGGGUACUGUCUAACCCACAAGUCUCUGCCAGGAAUGUUGCUGUCCACACUGGAGUGUAAGACACCUGCGGAGCUCGUCUAUGGGGCUCAUGUUGGCUGAGGCUCUGAACUACAGAACUGCAAACAACCAAGGGAGCGCCCCAGGCCCCACGCAGACAGUGCCCGUGCCGGGGCGGGGAGGCGAGUUCUCCCUGCGGCCGCGGACCCUGGAUGGUGGCGUCGCCCGAAGACGCGCCUCACCGGCCUGGGUGGGGUUGCCUUUUGCCCUCGAGGCUGGCCUAAGCGCUGGGGGGCCGCUGGCUAACCCUGAGGUAGAUACUCGGGAAAUGGGUGGAAUAGGGAAAGGGACUCAGCCCUUCCGCCCUUUUCCCCAGUCGAGGCCCGCGUCACUGCCCUGUGGGUGCAGACGCCUCCAGUGUCACUCCCCUGGAUUUCGCUUGGGCAGAAGAAGAGAUUGUAGGCCGGACCCCAACGCCGAAGCCCUGAGAUGCAUCAUCCCUGGUCUCUCUUGUUUCAUUACGAAAAAUCCCAGAGAAACCACCCGGCAGGAUCAAUCAGACGCAGGCAGCCAGACAGUUUUCUUGUACUUUAUUAAAGUGUAAUCAAACAUCGGUUAAGUGGAAAAUAAAUAUCCAGAUCUAACACUGUAAGCAUCUUCACUUUUUGUUUUUUGCUGAUGUUGAUUUAGUUGCUAAUUGGUGACAGAAAUUGUCAAAUAGGUGGCAGAUAGCGACUGCGGAAACUUCCGUUGAAGGAGGCUUCUAAUGUGAGGAAAAACACGGAAUGACAAGUGUGGGAAAGAGCAAGCACUAAAUUACUGUCAGAAAAAUAAACGGAGUAGCACAGUGCUGCUCGGUGAUUUACGGGGGCAAUUAGUCACCACCCCACGGCGCUGCUGAGGACAGCACGGCAGCAGACAAGUCAGGCCCAUGAGGAAGAAGAGGCUUUGCACUGCUCUCCAGACAACUUUUCAAACAACAAGAGAGGAUAUUUGAGCACAUUAGGUUUUGUGUCUUCAUUCUGGGUACCUACUCUUCAUAUUAUUCUACCAACUUAAUACAUAAACAUAUUUUUAGCACAAUAUGAACCUGUUCUAUGUGUGUUUAAAAGCCUCCAGCAGCAACUUUUUUCUCUCCCACUGUCCAAAGUUGGGUUUUCCCCAUCCCUUAAAAAACAAAACAAAAAAACCUUUCUUCACUCCAAAUUGUCCCCCUGGUGUGUGGUUUUGGUCUUUCUCAUUACUUCUUGCAUCUUGCUACAUGUUCUGCAUUUGCUCAGAGCCACUGGGUGCUAAGGAAUUUGGUCUGCUGCUCCUCUGGGAAAGUUUGGUAAGCUGGUACAAGGAGGUGAUGAACAAGGCUAAAUGAAAAUCAUACAUAAACUUCCCAAUAUUUGUGAACAUGUUCUUUAACAUACCAUACAUAGUUUCUAUGUAUAUGUAACAUAGCAAAACAAACUUGCUAAGGUAUAAUUAAUUGGUAUGCAUGCCUUCAUAAAUAUUCACCAUCAGAAGAAACCUAGAAUGAAAGGUUGUGAAAGAACCCAGGAAUGAGAAAGACUUUAUUGACUAAAGGCCAUGUCUAUGUAGGGGCAACAAUGAAGCUGUGGGUGAGCAAAUGAAGCUUCAUCAGGAGUUUAGUAUCCUUAUGUAGCAUUACCUAAGAAUGCUACCAUAGUAAAUUUCUGAAGUACUUUACCUGUUACAAAGAACGUUUGUAAUCUCCUUUUCUUAUUUGAUCUUGCCCUGGCUUUAGUCAGGAACACCUGCUCAGUUAGAAAUGUAUUCGGUGGGUAUGUACGCAGUUGGAGAAUGUGCCCCAACACACGCCGCCUUUGGCCUGUAUGUUGGAGUCCUAGAGAGGCAGACAAUGUUGAUGAGCUUGGUACCAGCAUGGUGCGCCAUUCAUCCGGACACAAUUUCUGAUAAAGAGGGUCACAACUGGGAGAAACCUCAGAUUCUACUUGCUUCUCUUCUCCACGUUAUUAGACUUUUUUUCCCCUCUUGAAUUUUAUAAGCACACUCCUUUUAAAACAAUUAAUUAAUAACGAGCACUGGGAUUUGAUGUAGAAUUGCGUAUUUGUAACUGCAAUGGCACUGGUUUUCAACUACCCUGUAACAAGGAAGCAAUUCUAACCAGCAAAAGAGGCAGACGUGUUUCUGUGCAACAUCACAGGCGUGUGAAAUUGUUCAGAUAUUGAGAUAUCAGGAGUGAUAUAAAUUGGAAAUUUAACCAAAAAUAUUUUCCAUCAGUGAACAAAGCCGAUUUUAAAGUGCCUCUUGCAUUUUUCAGAUCUUUCUCUUUCUUUUUCCCAAAGUCACAUUGUAGUUUCUGAUAAAGGAACACACUGGGAAAACUAAGCACAUAUUUAAUCAAUGAAAUUUAAGGUGUAAAAAUUCUGCAUUUCUGACAAAUUUAAUGUUCACUUUUUUCUUGAUUUAAAUAGAGCAUUCUAAAAAUAUUACCCCUAUAGGGGAUAAAUUUUUAUAUGCAUGUUAUUUUUCUUUACAAAGUGUGGGCUAGUAAAGAGUGAAAAAGACCUUGGCUAUUGUACUUAUUUCUUGAAAGAAAUAAUAGCAUCUUAAUGACUGGAUUCAAAUCUCUGCUUAUCACACAACUUCCGUACAGUUCAAAGAGAGGACUUGGAUUGAAUGAAAACAGAGAGCUGGGGCUUCCUACAUUCCCCUGUGUUUGUGUUCAUACAGAAUAUUUAUGCAAUAUUCUGACUUGGCCAUAAUCUGUAAUUCCUGCCUAUUAUUCUCAGUUGCAACUAUAAAUUCUAGAUUAAUGGUUAUAAUUUUGGUAAGGCAUACAUGAAAAGUUAUAUGUUCCUGCUUGAAAGGAGGAUCAUUAAAUAUUCAUUAUUACCACUCAAAUUAGUUGUCAUGCUCUGUGUAAUAGUUACCCGUUAUCAUUUCACUAGUUUGGAUUCAGCAGUAAGUGAACAGCAAUAUAUAGCUCAUAGCGCCAGAGGACUUUUUUUGUCGGGGAACAGGGAGAGAAAUGAUUUUAAAACCCAUUUGACAUAUUUAUGUUGACAAAUUAUUUAAAGGAAUUACUGUGUUGUAAUAAACAUGUUUGUAUGUUGGAAUAGGAUUGUGGCUAAAUUUGCUUCUAGCUGUUUAAUUACUCUUAUUAUGAUUGUGAAAAACAGUGCUUCUUCAAGUAGUUCCAAGGAAAAAAAUAGAAAAUGGAAAAGUUGAGCUAUUUCAGUCUUUUGCAGGUAUCUAACCUUGCCAUGAAAAAGCACUUUUCAUUUUUGUAAGUAGAUAUUGAAAUCUUGCUUUUUCAGCGAAGCUAGAUUGUAUAAUUUAUUAGUUUUCUCCACCUGGUAACACAUCCUUAAGAAAAAAAUUGCCAAAAGUAAAGCAUGAGAUGGAUUUUAAAAUAAAUGUUGUGGAUGAACA
rnacentral:lncRNA from 1 species